rnacentral:rRNA from 1 species
AACGAACGCUGGCGGCAUGCCUAACACAUGCAAGUCGAACGAGAUCUUCGGGUCUAGUGGCGCACGGGUGCGUAACGCGUGGGAAUCUGCCCUUUGGUUCGGAAUAACAGUUGGAAACGACUGCUAAUACCGGAUGAUGACGAAAGUCCAAAGAUUUAUCGCCAGAGGAUGAGCCCGCGUAGGAUUAGCUAGUUGGUGUGGUAAAGGCGCACCAAGGCGACGAUCCUUAGCUGGUCUGAGAGGAUGAUCAGCCACACUGGGACUGAGACACGGCCCAGACUCCUACGGGAGGCAGCAGUGGGGAACAUUGGACAAUGGGCGAAAGCCUGAUCCAGCAAUGCCGCGUGAGUGAUGAAGGCCUUAGGGUUGUAAAGCUCUGUUACCCGGGAUGAUAAUGACAGUACCGGGAGAAUAAGCUCCGGCUAACUCCGUGCCAGCCGCCGCUGUAA